rnacentral:tRNA from 1 species
AGAGAAAGAAGGGGCUUUAGGCAUUCACACUUAUCGGUAAACUGAAAAGAUGCGGAAGAAGCUUGAGUGAAGGCAAGGUUCGCUUAAGAAGGGAAACCGGGUUUGUAGCUCAGCUGGUUAGAGCACACGCUUGAUAAGCGUGGGGUCGGAGGUUCAAGUCCUCCCAGACCCACCAAGAACGGGGGCAUAGCUCAGUUGGUAGAGCACCUGCUUUGCAAGCAGGGGGUCAUCGGUUCGAUCCCGUUUGCCUCCACCAAAACUUUACAAAUAAAAGCAAGUUUGCUGUUUUUAGCAGCUUAUUUUGAUUUGCGAAGUAGAAUAACGACGCAUCGAUCUUUAACAAAUUGGAAAGCCGAAAUCAACAAACAAAGACAAUGAGUUUGUUUUGAUUUUUUAUUCUUUGCAAAGGAUAAAAACCUCUCGCAAGAGAAAAGAAAACAAACAUAGUAUUUGGGUGAUGAUUGUAUCGACUUAAUCCUGAAACACAAAAGGCAGGAUUAAGACACAACAAAGCAGUAAGCUUUAUCAAAGUAGGGAUUUCAAGUUUGCUUACUUAGUCAACGGGUAGGUAAACGAAGUCAAAGAAGUUCUUGAAAUGAUAG